rnacentral:lncRNA from 1 species
AUAAAAACUCCAAAUCAUAUAAAAUUUGCACCCAAUUUGUAUCCAAAACCUUAAACUUACUGAUAUUAGCCUCCAAAGCUUGCAUGAAUUCAAAAGAGAAAUCCUAAUCCCUAAUAAGGCCUCGAGCAGCCUCCUUGAAGUCCAUUGGGCAUAGCCUUUGAUCAAUAAGAAUGAAGAUCUUCAUUCCUUGCCUUCAUUCAAUCAUGCCUUGUUUUCAUCCCUCCUAAUAAGCCUCCUAUUAGUUAAGAUUUUCUUCUUUAGGCUCUAAUCUCCUCUCAAGGCUUCAUACUAAAUAUUUAGGUCCUGUAAUUUUUUUAAAUGCUAUAAUCAAAAAAGAUAAAACUCAAAAUAAAGUUUUUUAUUUCACUCUUUUAAAAUUAAUCUAUUAACCAUUCUAACAUAUACCAAGACUUAUGAACAUAUUAUA